UACGAGGGGGGCAAGCGUUGUUCGGAAUUAUUGGGCGUAAAGGGCGCGUAGGCGGUGCGGUAAGUCUGCAGUGAAAUCUCUGGGCUCAACUCAGAGUCUGCUGUAGAAACUGCCGUGCUUGAGUGUGGGAGAGGUGAGUGGAAUUCCCGGUGUAGUGGUGGAAUGCGUAGAUAUCGGGAGGAACACCAGUGGCGAAGGCGGUUGCCUGGGGCUUUGCUGACGCUGAUGCGCGAAAGCGUGGGGAGCGAUCCGG
rnacentral:rRNA from 1 species